rnacentral:lncRNA from 1 species
UUGUAUCCUCCUCGUACAUUCUUCUGUAACACCACCAGCGGAGCCGCCGCUGGCGAACACCACCAUCGCCAUUCGCUCACAAAAUUACACCCCAGAUUCCCCUUCUCUUCCUCUACCCAAAUCCAUUACUCCUUUCCCUCGAAUCCUACCCCAUGUCGUCAAAUAUCGAAUCAAAUUUUUCCGGCCAUGAAACAAAGUUGUCCAAAUCCGACCAAAUUUACACCACUGACUCACCUGCUCUCCCUCAUCACAAAUCUUCACUUGGUUGUCGUCAAACACCACCAGAGGUCACUGAUUUGUUAAUCUAGGAUUUUUAAGUAAGGGUGAAAUGGCGUUGCAUAAUUAUCAGUCCCUAAUGACCCUAAAAAUGAUAUUAUGUGUUUAUUUGAUUUGGAAUAAGCAUAUAAUAUCAUUUUUGGGCCAAUUUCAAGAUUAAUGCAUUAAAGCCCAAAUUCAGUAAGUUUCUUUAUUUUUUCUUUUUGGUUCUUUCAAUUGUUUGUUUCUGUCUUGACUGGAUUCUCGAUAAUCGUUUCCUGUUAGUUUAAGUUUGAUUUGUUUUCUUUGCUCUGUUUUGACUGUUGAGUUUCAGUAACUUUGAUGUUGGCAUAUCUAGUUUUGUUUCAAUUGUUAAAUUGUUAUCGAGUUGUAGUAAUUUUGAUCUUUGGUUUUGAUGGAUUCAAAUGGUAGUGUAGUUAGAUUUUAUAGUUUAGUUAAAUCUUUGGCAAUUUUGAUAAGCAAUGUGUUAUUUGGAAAAUUGAUUUUGUUUCCUGAUAAAUUUUAAUUACAAAUCUGUUUUGAAUAAUGUUUGAUUAAAUUAGUAUUUUUAGCUUAGUUUUAAUGGUUCUUUCGAUUUAGUGUCCAGUUGCAAUUCAAUUAGGCUUCAGGUUUGGAUGUAGCUGAAUAAGUCCAGUUCUAGAUUAAUCAAAGUUGUUUCUUAAUUAAGACAAAAGAGGUUUGGUGGAGUCAGUAAUUUUUAAAAAGUAAUCAAGGGUAGUUUGGGCAUGGAAAAGGACUGUUUUGUUAGGAAUAGUAAUUUCAAAAUCAAAAUAAGGGUAGUAUAUGUAUUGUAUAGGUAAAAGAAUACCCUAGGGCCUUCUAGAAGGAGGUUUUAGUGUAAGUUUCAGCUUUUUAAAAGCAGUAACUUGGAAAACAAGUCAAAAAUUGAAGGUCUAAUAGAUGAAAUCUGAAAUUAAAAGAGGAAAAAAUGUGAGUGCCAUCUAGAACAUUCUAUCCCAUUUGUUGCCUAUAAAAGGCAACCCCAAUGCCUUUAUUUACAAGUUUACACACCCCUGGAAAUUCUCAGAGUUUCCAACCAUCAAAAAUUCCGUCUCAAAGCUAUCUUUAUCCAAUUUUCCGAUCAUCAUUUUGAAAUUCAACACUGCAAAAAUCCAAAAACAGUAGAAAAACAGGAAAAGCCAAAAACAUUUUACUAUUUCAUUGCCUAUUUCAAUCAUUUUCAAGUUCCUAUUUGGUGUUCUUCAUUUUUUGCUCUAAGCUCGAGUCUUAAAAGUAUCUGGAGGUUCUUUGAUGUUUCAAUUCGAGUGAAUUUGGUCCUAUUAAGUGGGUUUCAGUUUGAGUUUAGCUUUACUAAGGAUUCAGGAGUAUUUCAAAUUGGAUUUUGAGCUUCCGUGGAUUUAUUCACGCUGGUUUUUGAGUGAUUUGCUAAGUUCUCUGUUAGCUAUUGAAUAUUAUGGACUUUAAACUUACUCCUGGGCUGUUGGUUAUUGUACACUGUUGUUGAGGUUUCCAGUUAUUGCUGCUGAUCUAUCAUUCAUUUGUUUCCAUUUUGAAUCCAGGUAUAUGACUUGAGACCUUAUGGCUGUAGCUUCACAUGAUUGGAACAUGAAAUGAAUUGAGGAUGAUCCUUUUACUGUUGGGAAUAAACCCCCUACCAAAAUAAUAUUCACGGUAAUAAAAGCAGAAUAAUAAUGUAGCACCGAGAUAUAGUAAUUAACAAGAAUAAAAGAGUAACAAUGACACCAAUAGUUUUACGUGGAAAACCCUUCUGAAUAAGGGAAAAAACCACGGCCCUGAGAGAAGCAACUGAUAUCACUAUAGUAAGUAUUUUUACACUUUGUAGGUCCGAGUAAAAUACUCCAAAGACCACUACAACACUGAAAAGAAAUAACCCUCUUUUGAUAUU